rnacentral:rRNA from 1 species
UACGGGAGGCAGCAGUGGGGAAUAUUGCACAAUGGGCGCAAGCCUGAUGCAGCCAUGCCGCGUGUAUGAAAAAGGCCUUCGGGUUGUAAAGUACUUUCAGUCGUGAGGAAGGUGUUAAGGUUAAUAACCUUAGCAAUUGACGUUAGCGACAGAAGAAGCACCGGCUAACUCCGUGCCAGCAGCCGCGGUAAUACGGAGGGUGCGAGCGUUAAUCGGAAUUACUGGGCGUAAAGGGCACGCAGGCGGUUAAUUAAGUUGGAUGUGAAAUCCCCGGGCUUAACCUGGGAAUGGCAUUCAAGACUGGUUAGCUAGAGUCUUGUAGAGGGGGUAGAAUUCCAUGUGUAGCGGUGAAAUGCGUAGAGAUGUGGAGGAAUACCGGUGGCGAAGGCGGCCCCUGGACAAAGACUGACGCUCAUGUGCGAAAAGCGUGGGGAGCAAACAGGGAUUAGAUACC